GGGGAGCCGGUCCGUCCACAGUCUUGCCGUCAUCAUCCGGGCCCCAACUGGCACUGUAUAUGUGCACGUGCUGGGGGUUGAAGCUGACUGACUUUGCCUCCACCAUGUCUGUGACAUCCCCAUCCAGCAUUCUCACGCCUGCGAGACAAAAAGGAGGGCUGCCAUGAGGUGAGCAGUUAUUCACCAGCAAAAUAUCCUUCUGCAGUAUAGCCUGACUCAUGUCGGGCCCACAGCAAUAAAACCAGCAGACCAUGGACUAAAACCUCUCAAACUGUCACACAUCUUGAAGAUCACAGAAUUGUUUCCAGCCAACAUUCUGACCAUUUUCCUUGUUCAGUGCCCACCCAGGGGGUCAGACAGUGGAGACCCAGGAAGACCCACAAAGGCUUGUUAAAUUGCAAUGAGGAUCGACAACAUGGUCUCAUCUCAGGAGGACAAGGAAGUCUGUCCGGCUAAAUAAUUGUAACUCUUCUUCAUGGUCAAAAUCAUUAAAGUAUUGUCAUGAGCUUUUUUAAAGUAUUGUCAUAAGCUUUUUUUUUUUUU